rnacentral:rRNA from 1 species
UGAGGAAUAUUGGACAAUGGGCGCAAGCCUGAUCCAGCCAUGCCGCGUGCAGGAAGACGGUCCUAUGGAUUGUAAACUGCUUUUGUACAGGAAGAAACAUCCCUACGUGUAGGGACUUGACGGUACUGUAAGAAUAAGGAUCGGCUAACUCCGUGCCAGCAGCCGCGGUAAUACGGAGGAUCCAAGCGUUAUCCGGAAUCAUUGGGUUUAAAGGGUCCGUAGGCGGUUUAAUAAGUCAGUGGUGAAAUCUGGUCGCUCAACGAUCAAACGGCCAUUGAUACUGUUAGACUUGAAUUAUUGUGAAGUAACUAGAAUAUGUAGUGUAGCGGUGAAAUGCUUAGAUAUUACAUGGAAUACCAAUUGCGAAGGCAGGUUACUAACAAUAUAUUGACGCUGAUGGACGAAAGCGUGGGGAGCGAACAG